rnacentral:rRNA from 1 species
UACAGAGGGGGCGAGCGUUGUUCGGAAUUACUGGGCGUAAAGGGCGCGUAGGCGGCCAACUAAGUCAGACGUGAAAUCCCUCGGCUCAACCGGGGAACUGCGUCUGAUACUGGAUGGCUUGAAUUCGGGAGAGGGAUGCGGAAUUCCAGGUGUAGCGGUGAAAUGCGUAGAUAUCUGGAGGAACACCGGUGGCGAAGGCGGUUCUCUGGGCCUGUUCUGACGCUGAGGAGCGAAAGCGUGGGGAGCAAACAGG